UUAGGUGGUUAUAGCGCUGAGGUCCCACCCCUUCCCAUUCCGAACAGGGUCGUUAAGCUCAGCAACGCCGAUGGUACUGCAUGUUGUGGGAGAGUAGGUAGCCGCCACUU
rnacentral:rRNA from 1 species